rnacentral:rRNA from 1 species
CAGCCGCCGCGGUAAUACGUAGGUGGCAAGCGUUGUCCGGAAUUAUUAGGCGUAAAGCGCGCGCAGGCGGCUUCCCAAGUCCCUCUUAAAAGUGCAGGGCUUAACCCCGUGAUGGGAUGGAAACUGCCAAUCUAGAGUAUCGGAGAGGAAAGUGGAAUUCCUAGUGUAGCGGUGAAAUGCGUAGAUAUUAGGAAGAACACCAGUGGCGAAGGCGACUUUCUGGACGAAAACUGACGCUGAGGCGCGAAAGCCAGGGGAGCGAACGGGAUUAGAUACCCCCGUAGUCCCUGUCUCUUAUACC